rnacentral:tRNA from 2 species
AAAGGCUUAGUUAAUUAAUAACACCAACUUGUCAAGUUGUAAUAACCCCCUACAGGUAGCCUUUA